UACGUAGGCAGCGAGCGUUGUUCGGAGUUACUGGGCGUAAAGGGUGUGUAGGCGGUUGUUUAAGUUUGGUGUGAAAUCUCCCGGCUCAACUGGGAGGGUGCGCCGAAUACUGAAUGACUUGGAGUGCGGGAGAGGAGAGUGGAAUUCCUGGUGUAGCGGUGAAAUGCGUAGAUAUCAGGAGGAACACCGGUGGUGUAGACGGCUCUCUGGACCGUAACUGACGCUGAGGCACGAAAGCUAGGGUAGCAAACGGG
rnacentral:rRNA from 1 species